UACAUGAAACACAGCCCUUAUUUGAAGUGUUUCUAAAAUCCCCUGUGGGAAAAAUGAAUGGUGUAAAAACGAUUGGACCCAUUUCCCUGUUUGACUGCUAAGUUUUAUGUGUAUUGUGACUCAUACUCGUAGUCUAUGGAGGACUGCUUUUCUGAGGAGUGCCAAUAUGGCCGACCGGUGGCUUCAAAACCUCAAUCUGGCAAUCUGGGGAUUGGCAAUCUGGGGAUUGGUACAUUCAUUUUGUUGCUGUUUGAAUCCCAGAUUUCCCUUUUAAUAGGAUGUGGUUGAGGUAUGGGAAUGUUUUAGAUAGGUUCUUAGAUAUGCAUGUCCAGUAGAUACUGUACAUCAGGGCUAUUCAACUAGCGGCCCGCGCGCCAGAUCCGGCCCGUUUCUGAAUUUAAACCCUGAACAUUAAUAAAAGAUCAGUAAAAAAAUUUUUUUUAUUUCCACCAAAAUCCGCCGUUCAGUGGCAAAAUGACAAGCCCUAGGGUGGUUGUCUAUAGUCUGGUGCCUAUGUAGAAUGUCAAUGGGUUUUUCUCUUCGUCAUAUGGAUUUGGCAGUAGCGUUUGAACAGUUUAAGCUUCAAAAUAUGAUGAAAGCUACACCUCUAAGGAACACAUACAUGCCUUCUGUUGCCCUCUCGGAUGCUCACAAAGACUCGUUAGAAGUGAGAGACAAACAAGGCACCUAAUGACUGAGGGAAAUUCAUUCAAAGCAUCCUUCCUUCAGACUGGAAUUUGACAUGACCUGAUUUGACAUAUCUUUGUGUUAUUUACAGAGAUGCUUAGUUUUCAGAUGCUUUUAAAAUGACCUAAUUACUUUUAAGAAGCUUUUAAUAGUUAUUUAACUGCUUUAUUGGUGGUUGUGGGUCACUUGUUUUAUACAGUUCUUCGAAGAAUAAUCACAUGUGGAAAAUGUCCAGCCCCCCUGCAAUUAAACCUUUUUUCAUCUGGCCUCUGUAAGAAGAUAGUUGAAUAGCCCUGCUGUACCUUAUAUAGAUACACAUCCAUAUCAUCAGUUCUAUAGGAUGGUAACAGGUGGAUAGAGACAGUUAAUGUGGUUCUAUAGGAUGGUAACAGGUGGAUAGAGACAGUUAAUGUGGUUCUAGAGGAUGGUAACAGGUGGAUAGACAGUUAAUGUGGUUCUAUAGGAUGGUAACAGGUGGAUAGAGACAGUUAAUGUGGUUCUAUAGGAUGGUAACAGGAGGAUGGAGACAGUUAAUGUGGUUCUAUAGGAUGGUAACAGGUGGAUAGAGACAGUUAAUGUGGUUCUAGAGGAUGGUAACAGGUGGAUAGACAGUUAAUGUGGUUCUAUAGGAUGGUAACAGGUGGAUAGAGACAGUUAAUGUGGUUCUAUAGGAUGGUAACAGGAGGAUAGAGACAGUUAAUGUGGUUCUAUAGGAUGGUAACAGGAGGAUAGAGACAGUUAAUGUGGUUCUAUAGGAUGGUAACAGGUGGAUAGAGACAGUUAAUGUGGUUCUAUAGGAUGGUAACAGGAGGAUAGAGACAGUUAAUGUGGUUCUAUAGGAUGGUAACAGGUGGAUAGAGACAGUUAAUGUGGUUCUAUAGGAUGGUAACAGGUGGAUAGAGACAGUUAAUGUGGUUCUAUAGGAUGGUAACAGGUGGAUAGAGACAGUUAAUGUGGUUCUAUAGGAUGGUAACAGGUGGAUAGAGACAGUUAAUGUGGUUCUAUAGGAUGGUAACAGGAGGAUAGAGACAGUUAGUGUUGAUUGCUUUGUGUUAGUCAUAAACAGUGUUUUGUCUUGUAGGCUACUUUGUUUGUUUAAAAAACAAAGAAGAAAUAGCAGUUGAGUUUACCACUCAAGUCAUAUAUUUUCUGUUGAAUACUCAGAAAAUUGCCUAUAAGCUUUUAUAAACUGGGUGGUUCGAGCUCUGAAUGCUGAUUGGCUGAAAUACAUGGUAUAUCAGACCGUAUACCACGGAUAUGACAAAACAUUUAUUUUUACUGCUCUAAUUACUUUGGUAACCAGUUUAUAAUAACAAUAAGGCACCUUGGCUAAUUUACUCCACGUUGCAUCGUGCCUAAGAACAGCCCUUAGCUGUGGUAUAUUGGUACAUACCACACCCCCCCGGGCCUUGUUGUUUUUUUAUACCACUUCUGAACACUUUUCUACCUCUCAUGACAGUACUACAUCUAUUUAUGAUAUCAAUAUGAUACUAUGAUUGUGCUCCCAGUAAAUACUGAUCUGAUACUGAUAAAUCUCUCAGUAGAAAUGAAGAAUGUAUUAUUAUGUUGUGUAUAACAUGGCCAUCUUGAAUGUAAUGUCUCU